AUACCUACGGGACGCAGCAGUGGGGAAUAUUGCACAAUGGGGGAAACCCUGAUGCAGCGACGCCGCGUGAAGGAAGAAGUAUUUCGGUAUGUAAAGCCCUAUCAGCAGGGAAGAAGAAAUGACGGUACCUGAGUAAGAAGCACCGGCUAAAUACGUGCCAGCAGCCGCGGUAAUACGUAUGGUGCAAGCGUUAUCCGGAUUUACUGGGUGUAAAGGGAGCGCAGGCGGCACGGCAAGCCUGAUGUGAAAGCCCGAGGCCCAACCGCGGGACUGCAUUGGGAACUACCG
rnacentral:rRNA from 1 species